rnacentral:rRNA from 1 species
UGUCGUCAGCUCGUGUUGUGAAAUGUUGGGUUAAGUCCCGCAACGAGCGCAACCCUUAUCCUUUGUUGCCAGCGGUCCGGCCGGGAACUCAAAGGAGACUGCCAGUGAUAAACUGGAGGAAGGUGGGGAUGACGUCAAGUCAUCAUGGCCCUUACGACCAGGGCUACACACGUGCUACAAUGGCGCAUACAAAGAGAAGCGACCUCGCGAGAGCAAGCGGACCUCAUAAAGUGCGUCGUAGUCCGGAUUGGAGUCUGCAACUCGACUCCAUGAAGUCGGAAUCGCUAGUAAUCGUGGAUCAGAA